CGGCAGCGGGCGAGGCGCCUCUGCGGAGACGCCUCUCCCGGCGAGUCGCACUGCCGCUCCGGGCUGUCCGCCCAGGCGCAGGCACGCAGACACACUCGCACACACAGGCUGGCACCGCCACAACCCGCCAGCCGGUGUGACAGGAGCCCUGCUACCCGCAGCAAAAACCUGCCCUAGAAACUGCCUUGAGAAUGUUGAAGAAACCCUGGAGAGAUUAACAAUCCAAAUGAUCACAGAGGAUAGUUUUGGAUCCCCUACAUUUGCACAGAGGAAGAGAGAUUUGAAUGCCCCUCAAUAGAGAUGAAAAUAAAACAGAUAAUGUAAGUCAUUGGCAGCAUGACUCUCUCCUACAAGAAUGGAAAGUGCUCUUAUAUACUGAAAUGACUUUUGUUUUUCAGUUUUGUAAACAAUCUUUCUCCCCACAAAAGCCCCUGGGGUAAGCAGUUUUGCAAAUAACCAGCAAAGUGACAGCUUUCUUUUUCCUCAGGAAGUUAAGCAGACAGAGCCCACAUAGUUAGAACCAAUGGCAGAAAGAAUUGGGAUAUAUACUGAUUGUGAUAUAUUCCGGUUCACUAUAUGAUUGUAACUUUGGGGCAACCAUGACCCUACAUACCACUUUCCAUAAAGUUCUAUUUAUCUGAACAGUUCAUUCUUUGCCUUACUGUGUAACAUCCACCAUAGAUAGCUGCCUAUGAGAAUGAAUGGAAACCAUCUGUAUGUAUAAUGUAUUCAUUAACUCAGUAUAGUGUAAGUAGAUGCACUAAUCUUUUCCCAAUAGAUAUUCUUUUAUUUCUUUGAUAAGGACUUGUUAAGCAUUUGCUAUGUACUGUGUACUCUUCUGAAUGCUUUAGAUAUGCUAUUAAACAAGAAUAAGGAUCCUGUCGUCAUGUAGCUUAUAGUCUAACAGUGGAAAAAUAAAUUAUAAAGAAGUAAACAAGAUUCAUUCAUUUGAUCCAAAGAUAUAUAUUGAGCCC
rnacentral:lncRNA from 10 species